rnacentral:sRNA from 1 species
AACCGUCGACGAACCACCACAUCAUCUUCUUAGCCACCAGUUAGCCCAGUCCACCACCCCACAGUUCCUCCCCACGCACACCACCAGGCCGGGCGGAGAGAGGCAGGAGCACGCCGCCAACGGGCGGCAGUCCUCCCCUCGCCGGCACGCGGCCCUCGCGCCACCGUCGCCGCCGCAACACGGCCCUCGAACUGCACCGCCACCACCGCAGCGCGGCCCUCGCGCCGCUGUCGUCGUCGAAGCACGGCCCACCCUCCGCCGCCGUCGUGGCAGUGCGGCCCUCGCUCCGCCGCUGCUGCCGCCGCCAACGGCCUUCGGCCGCAGCACUCCGUGCCCACGACGGAGCCGUCGCCCUGCACCGCGCGGCCAGAUCCGGCCGCGGGAGCACCGGAUCUGGCCACCGCGGUGCCGGAUCCCCAGCCUCCCUCGCCGUCGAGCGCGCCUCCCUCCGCCUGGCUCGCCACGCUCCGCCCCGUCUCCCUCGCGCCAGAGACGACGCGUCGCCGUGGUUACGCCUCGCCGCCGCCAUCCCAGCUCCCCGCACGGUUGUCCAGCGACUAACUCCGACGGCGGCGAGACAGAGAGAGGGGAGGAGGGUGGGUGGCGGCGGCGGCGGCUAGGGUUUGCCCCUGAGCCUCUGCUGUUGGCUACAGAUUGGCUCUCCAGACUCCACUUCUUUCUGAAUCCACGCCGGUCAAUGAUAUGCAAACCUUGGAUGAUUGAAUACAGUUUGGUACAGAUUCUCAUUCUGCCAAGCUCAAGCUCAGCAUGUACUUCACCUGCUAUGCUAUUGUACCUUGUUCACGACUUCAUGUGAUAGGCUAGCUAGUUUAGCUAGAUAUGAUAUUGCAGUUUUGGCAAGGGAUACCAAACUAGUAACAGCAGAAUAAUUAUGACAUAGG